rnacentral:rRNA from 1 species
GUGGGGAAUAUUGGACAAUGGGCGAAAGCCUGAUCCAGCCAUGCCGCGUGUGUGAAGAAGGUCUUCGGAUUGUAAAGCACUUUAAGUUGGGAGGAAGGGCAGUAAGUUAAUACCUUGCUGUUUUGACGUUACCAACAGAAUAAGCACCGGCUAACUUCGUGCCAGCAGCCGCGGUAAUACGAAGGGUGCAAGCGUUAAUCGGAAUUACUGGGUGUAAAGCGCGCGUAGGUGGUUCAGCAAGUUGAAGGUGAAAUCCCCGGGCUCAACCUGGGAACUGCCUCCAAAACUACUGAGCUAGAGUACGGUAGAGGGUAGUGGAAUUUCCUGUGUAGCGGUGAAAUGCGUAGAUAUAGGAAGGAACACCAGUGGCGAAGGCGACUACCUGGACUGAUACUGACACUGAGGUGCGAAAGCGUGGGGAGCAAACAGGAUUAGAAACCCCGGUAGUCC